rnacentral:lncRNA from 1 species
GAGGAUGUUGACCUGUGGAAUGGUCUUACAUCGCUUCAUUGGUAUAAUGAUUUCCAUGUUCGGUAUUAAUAUUCUUGUUGGACCGGAUCAUGUAACGUAAGGUGUCAUCAUUGGAGCUAUAUUUUUGUGACCACCUAUGUAGUCUAACCCGGGUAUUAAAACUUUGUUAUGACAAUCAAAUUUGUCCAAGUGAGAGAAUGUUGGAAUAAUUAAUAAUUUCAUAUGUGGGCUUCACAUUCGAUUGCAAAUUUUAUGGGUUAGAUGUAUGGCUCAUAAUGAUAUUUGUGUUUGGGUCAAAUUUAUUAAGUGAUCAAUUGGGUCUUUUACACCUUAC